GUUUUCGCCCCACCCGAUUCAUUCAUUCCUCCCUCAAACCGCGCCGCCGCCCCCUCGUCUGCCUCCCACAUGGCCGCCUCCGCCGCCGGCGGCGGCAAUCUCGACGCCUGUCUCCCCAACCGCCACCGGCCCCCACCCUCUCCUCCUCCCCUCACCUCCUUCUCUCACUAAAUCUAGGGGGUCCCAGAACAAGCAGGCCGUGGGGCUUCCGAAUCAGUCGCACGCACGCCGGGAGAGGAGACCUACGGGCCGGGUGGUUCUGCGCCAAGGGCGGCCGUCCUCCUCCUCCUCCUCUGCUCCAGGCCUCCAGCGCGUUCAUGGCGCUCACCCCGGACGGUGAGGCGUUGCUGCAGAACAAGCUGGCCUUCAGUGCCAUGCCCGGGCGGAUGCAGCCGGUCUCGUCCACAUCGACGACGCGGGCGACCUCGCUUUCUCUUCGUCUGCUGCGGACGAGUGGUUCCUUCUUCCCCGACAUCGCCACCGAGCCACGCGAGUUGCUCAUCCGCACGUUGCUCCCUCUUCCUCUCUGUUGAUUGAUUGCUGAAUUUCCUUUCUUUUCUUGUUUCUUCCCUGUGUGAACACAUACAUGGAGAAUUCUGUUUCUUUGGCAUACAAAUACAAUCUUGAUCUGAAGCUGUCUGGUCACGACUGUUUAUGCGGUUCAGUUGGUACGUAGUAGGAGUAGUACAUGAGUAGUAGUAGCUGAUAGAGAUGUUUCAGUUAGAGAGGGCCUUGUAACAGACGAAGAAAUCAGCCCGUGCUUGUAAGUUGAAGGAUCUAUUGCGCGUUCCGUAAAGGAAUUGGUAGAAAUUGACAAGCUUGUACCAUUUGUACAUCCGACGAUUGUUUGAAGUACUGGAUGCGGCCCUAUUCUGCUUCAUGUGCAGUUUUGUAGAAAUUGAUUCACGUUUUCCAUCCAAAAGUUAUAUUUUUUCAGGCUGUAUAAACUGCACCCCUGUAGUUAGUUAUUGGUUCGUGCCUUCUCCUUUAUACAGUCACACUUUUGAAAUAUAUACAUUGUCAAUUUUAGGCAAUGAUGCAUCGAGCAGUAGCUCAGUCAGUAGUGCAAAAUGAAAGGUGUGCAGAUGGUUUAAUGCAAAUAGAACAGGCUGAUUGGAUUGGCGUAAGAAGAAAGUGGGGAAACUACAUUGAUGUCUUUUAUCCUCGACAUGAAAUUUUGGGUUCCUUUUUAAUGCUGACACCUUUUUCUUUUGGGAUAGGAUACGUAAAAGUGUACUUCUCUUAUGAAAGGCCUUGCUGAUGUGUUUAUCUCCUGCUCUGGUUGGUCGCAGGUGAGGCGUUGCUGCAGCCCAAGCUAGCCUUCAGUGCCAUGGCCGGGCGGAUGCAGCCCAAGCUAGCCUUCAGUGUUAUGGUCGGGCGGAUGCAGCUGGUCUCGUCCACACAGACGACCUCGCUUUCUCCUCGGCUCCUGCGGAAGCGCGGUUCUUCCCCGACCUCGCUGCCCAGCCACGCGAGUUUCUCAUCCGCAGUUGGUCGCAGGUGAGGCGUUGCUGCAGCCCAAGCUGACCUUCAGUGCCAUGGCCGGGCGGAAGUUGGCCGAUGCAGCCAGUCCCGUCCACAUCAACGGCGUUGGCGACCUCUAGCAUCUUUGCUUUCUCCUCGUCUGCUGCGGGUGUGCAGUUCUUCUUCCCCUCUGGCUCCUCCUCGACCUCCCCGUCGAGCCACGUGAGCUGCUCAUCCAGGAGGACGAAGCAUCACAUCUUCUGCCCCUGUCUGCUGCGGACAUGCACUUCUUCUGCCCAUCAAGUUCUUCCUCGACCUCAUCGCCGACCCACGCGAGUUGCUCAUCCCGCAGGUGAGGCUUUGCUGCAGCCCAAGCUUACCUUCAGUGCCAUGGCUGUGCGGAGGUUGGUCAAUGCAUCUAGUCUGGUACACAUCAAUGACGCGGGCGACCUCUAGCCUCUUCGGAUUCUCCUCGUCUGCUGCGGCCGAGCCAUGCGAGCUGCUCAUCCCGCAGAUGUGGAGUAUGAUCUCCCUGAUGUUUUGUAAACUGGUUUCAAGCAUGUUGUGGAGGAUUUAGCUAUACAUUUUGGUGUAAGGUGAGACCACUAACUUGUGUUCUUCGCUGAGCAUUGAAAACCUGGGAAUUUCUGACUGUGCUAACUUAAACAAUGGUAUUCGUGGAGAACAUGCCUGGUAAUCUCGGUAUCGUUACCUGCACAGUAGAACAUCAACUAUUUGACCAUAAAAGUUGGUUCAAUUCAGUUAUUCCAGCCAGCUAGCUAAUGUGGUUCUUGCAAAUAGCAGUGACAGCACCAUACCACAUUUCUUUCAUAGUGGGGUUACAUCUGAGGCAACAUAUAUUUAUUCUCUCUCUAGAUGUUGUAUCAGGAAGCAACUUACCAACAAGGACAAAAGAAAACAUCAGUCAUGCCUAAUUGUGAAGAAGAGUACGCCAAUAGAGUUAUUUGGGUUGUAUAAGAAGAAUACCGGCCAGUGCAGGUUGAGGCUAGACAAUUGUUGCUUAACUGGGUUCAAGUUAGCUCAGUUGUUCCGACAAGAUUUAGUUUUUUCCUCUGGUGUUUAUUCUUGAGACAUUUUAUAUAAAUAUAAAUAGCAAACAAGCAAUCCCAUUGAUCACAGCGAGACAGUUCACUUAGUAAGCAAUGUAAUGUAGGGACAUAUAUUUGAGGUUCUAGAUAAUUUUUGUGGGUCAUAGAUUGUAUGUUGCCAGUGAGAUGUGACGAGAUGGGAAAUAUAUACUUUGCAUGGAAAUGACAUUACUUUGCACAUGCCACUUAUUUUAAUGCGUGAGCAGUCGUUUUGUGUAAAUAACUAAAUAUACAAUACGCCAGUGUUCAAAAUUGUAAUUAAAAUUUCAUUCACCUCACAGGGAAUCUUUUUUGUAUAAAAGAUAUAAAUUUUGUCAGGCCAAUUUAUCGCAGUGUGGGGUCAGAACUAAAAUUAUGUCAUAUCAGUUAUGUUAAUCGGUGGGGCAGAUUUAUCGGUCUGUCAAGUGAUUUGUCAGGCAUCUAUUAUAAAUUGGUCUGGUCCCUCCAAGCAAAAACCUCAAAAUAUAUGGCAAAAUUCCUCCACCUCGGUCGCUAAGUAUCCUGAUACAACACUUGGGCGAGCAUCAUAGUCAUGACCCUCGCCAACUUCAGCAAACAAGCACCUCCUGGAAUUCGACUUUCCUGAUCAGUGGCAGCAAGCACGGAGGAGCCCUAUGGGAAGCGAGUCGAAAAAGUUGAUGUAGAGCUCGCAAGGCAAAUACAUCAACAGGUCGGCCGGUGC